rnacentral:rRNA from 1 species
GAUGAACGCUGGCGGCGUGCCUAAUACAUGCAAGUCGAACGAGUUCUCGUUGAUGAUCGGUGCUUGCACCGAGAUUCAACAUGGAACGAGUGGCGGACGGGUGAGUAACACGUGGGUAACCUGCCCUUAAGUGGGGGAUAACAUUUGGAAACAGAUGCUAAUACCGCAUAGAUCCAAGAACCGCAUGGUUCUUGGCUGAAAGAUGGCGUAAGCUAUCGCUUUUGGAUGGACCCGCGGCGUAUUAGCUAGUUGGUGAGGUAAUGGCUCACCAAGGCGAUGAUACGUAGCCGAACUGAGAGGUUGAUCGGCCACAUUGGGACUGAGACACGGCCCAAACUCCUACGGGAGGCAGCAGUAGGGAAUCUUCCACAAUGGACGCAAGUCUGAUGGAGCAACGCCGCGUGAGUGAAGAAGGCUUUCGGGUCGUAAAACUCUGUUGUUGGAGAAGAAUGGUCGGCAGAGUAACUGUUGUCGGCGUGACGGUAUCCAACCAGAAAGCCACGGCUAACUACGUGCCAGCAGCCGCGGUAAUACGUAGGUGGCAAGCGUUAUCCGGAUUUAUUGGGCGUAAAGCGAGCGCAGGCGGUUUUUUAAGUCUGAUGUGAAAGCCCUCGGCUUAACCGAGGAAGCGCAUCGGAAACUGGGAAACUUGAGUGCAGAAGAGGACAGUGGAACUCCUGGUGUAGCGGUGAAAUGCGUAGAUUAUAUGGAAGAACACCAGUGGCGAAGGCGGCUGUCUGGUCUGUAACUGACGCUGAGGCUCGAAAGCAUGGGUAGCGAACAGGAUUAGAUACCCUGGUAGUCCAUGCCGUAAACGAUGAAUGGUAGGUGUUGGAGGGUUUCCGCCCUUCAGUGCCGCAGCUAACGCAUUAAGCAUUCCGCCUGGGGAGUACGACCGCAAGGUUGAAACUCAAAGGAAUUGACGGGGGCCCGCACAAGCGGUGGAGCAUGUGGUUUAAUUCGAAGCAACGCGAAGAACCUUACCAGGUCUUGACAUCUUUUGAUCACCUGAGAGAUCAGGUUUCCCCUUCGGGGGCAAAAUGACAGGUGGUGCAUGGUUGUCGUCAGCUCGUGUCGUGAGAUGUUGGGUUAAGUCCCGCAACGAGCGCAACCCUUAUGACUAGUUGCCAGCAUUUAGUUGGGCACUCUAGUAAGACUGCCGGUGACAAACCGGAGGAAGGUGGGGAUGACGUCAAAUCAUCAUGCCCCUUAUGACCUGGGCUACACACGUGCUACAAUGGAUGGUACAACGAGUUGCGAGACCGCGAGGUCAAGCUAAUCUCUUAAAGCCAUUCUCAGUUCGGACUGUAGGCUGCAACUCGCCUACACGAAGUCGGAAUCGCUAGUAAUCGCGGAUCAGCACGCCGCGGUGAAUACGUUCCCGGGCCUUGUACACACCGCCCGUCACACCAUGAGAGUUUGUAACACCCGAAGCCGGUGGCGUAACCCUUUUAGGGAGCGAGCCGUCUAAGGUGGGACAAAUGAUUAGGGUG